AUGGGAGAAGGCAUCUGUCAUCUACUUCAAAGGCAGUUGGGAGAAUUUGGAGGGUGGCAUUAUGUGACGAGCCCCUUUUGUUCUGAAGUCACUUCUCAACAUUCUGGAGAUGUCAUGACUCUCAGAGCCUUGAUGGGUGACAAUGAAUCUCUUUACCCACAUCCAGAAGAAAAUCUGUGCCCAGUGCACACUGCCAAGACUAUCCUCAACAAGGCCAAAUUCAGUCAGCCACAUUGUUGCACUUGACCAAGGCUCCAGCACUGUUCUCAGGAAGGAGGGCAAGGGAGGAGGAUACAAAAGGAACAACAAAAGGAACAAGAUGCAGCCACUGUCCUCGAAGAAGACACAAAUAACUGCGAUAGGAUGUGGUGAGGCAGUGAAUAAAUGAAUCGGACCCUUAUUUGGUGCCUGAUAAAUGUUUAUGAAAUGGACAGACGAUUAAAUGGCAAGAAAAUAAUUAUCUGAGAAGUGCAGAAAAGAUCAUUUCUGACCUGGGAUACUCAGGAGUUGACAUUUGAAUGAUGAUAAGCUUUUUUUUUUUUUUUUUACUGAGAGCAGGAAUCCAUACCAGGAGAGGGAGGAGUGAGGGAGAGGAUUAGGGACUAAAGGACAUUUACGUUCACUGCAGAAUGGCUGGUGAUCUGUUGGGAUGGAAUAAUUCAAGAGGAGCAGUAGGACCUGGUAGGGGUUGUGAGAGGCAACUUGGAGCUCGCAAAAGCCACCCAAGCUCCGAUCACCUGGAUCUCCCAGUCAGCUCUCUGAGGCCUCUGGCCCAGCUGGUCUUCAGCACACAUUUGCCACCUGGUGUCUUCGCUGCCCUCAGCAUUGUAGAUUACACAAAGGCCACUCAGCAAACACCUGCGGAACCAGGACUGGAACUCCAGUCUGCCUGACCCCACAAAGCAUUCCACUGCAUCUCCAGCCCCUUGGUCUCUUGGCUAUGCCCACAGUAUCUGUAAGAUAGAGUCUGAGUUAACAAAACCAGAUACAAUGAUCCCUCAUUAUCCACAGGCUUGGUUCCAUGACCACUACAGUUACAAAAAUCUGUAAGUGUCCAAGACCCUUACCUUAAAUGGCAAAUGGGCUGGCAUUGUGCAAUAAUGGCUUAAGUCACCAUUUGGGACACUAGCAAUCCUUACAGUUGCCAGUUUGAGUCCUAAUUGCUCCACUUUCUAUCCAGUUCCCUGCUAAUUCACCUGGGAAAGCAGCAGAAGAUGGCCCAAGUCCUUGGGUCCCUGUCACCCAUGUGGGAGACCUGGAUGAAGCUCCUCGCUCCUGGUUUCAGCCUGGCUCAGCCCUGGCUGUUGCAACCAACUGGGGAGUGAACCAGUCUCUCGGUCUUUCCCUCUCUCUCCUUGUAACUCUGACUUUCAAAUAAAUAAAUAAAUCUUUUUUUAAAUGGCGUGGUAUUUGCAUAUGAUUUACACACACUUAUCUCCUAUACAUUAAAUCAACUCUAGGGUCUGGCACUGUAGCAUAGCGGGUAAAGCCACCACCUGCAGUACCAGCAUCCCAUAUAA